UAGGUAUAGUAUUGUUGGAGGAAGUACAUCACUGAGGGUGGGCUUUGAGGUUUCAGAAGCUCAAGCCAGGCCCAGUGGCUCAAUGUCUUUUCCUGUUGCACUCAGAUCCAGAUGUGGUGUGGUCAUAGUGUCUCCUCACAGCUGUAAAACACUGACAAAAACACAGUUUGGUUCUUUUUUUCUGCAGAAUUUAGAAUGAUUUUGUUCUUUCCUUUGCUUCUUGAGUUAAGAGCUAAAAUGCCAUGUCCUGUGACCAGUAUCUUCCUAGUGAGUCCAUUCUGCAGAAUUUGUCUCUCCAAUGCUGACCUACGUGCCCAAAAGAAAAACGUGGAAGCCAUAGUGUGUAACUGCUGAGGCCGUUUCAUGAAGACGUGGGCAUUUCUACUGUGGUCACCGUGACCAACUGUUCUUGAUAAACCCAGUUGCUGUGCUGGGAAGAUACUAGUGGGCACCCGUGGAGAGGCCCAUUGGAGAGAAAGUGAGCAUUCUGCUCAGACCACACAUGAACCACCGAUUAUGUGUCAUGAACGAUCUGGUCCCAAGUCUGCCCUCCAAAGGCCCAGUGCAAUGAAUCAAGCAAUAGAACCUUGUGGUUAGCUUAUACCUGGCCUAUAUAACCAUCCAACCUAUUCCUGUAUUUCUGAAAAAUAAACACCAUGAAAGGAUAAA